ACGGAAGGCAGCAGUGGGGGAUAUUGCACAAUGGGGGAAACCCUGAUGCAGCGACGCCGCGUGAGUGAAGAAGUAUUUCGGUAUGUAAAGCUCUUUAAGUUGGGAAGAUAAUGACGGUACCAACAGGAUAAGCCCCGGCUAACUACGUGCCAGCAGCCGCGGUAAUACGUAGGGGGCAAGCGUUAUCCGGAUUUACUGGGUGUAAAGGGAGCGUAGACGGCAUAGCAAGUCUGAAGUGAAAUCAUAGGGCUCAACCCUGUAAUUGCUUUGGAAACUGUUAAGCUCGAGUACCGGAGGGGCAGGCGGAAUUCCUGGUGUAGCGGUGAAAUGCGUAGAUAUCAGGAAGAACACCGGUGGCGAAGGCGGCCUGCUGGACGGUAACUGACGUUGAGGCUCGAAAGCGUGGGGAGCAAACAGGAUUAGAUACCCUGGUA
rnacentral:rRNA from 1 species